CCAGGCCGGCGAUCGUCAUGUUCUCCACAUUGACACCGAGGGCCCGGAUCAUCUGGCUAUUGUCGCCCGUGGCCCGCAUGGCUGUGCCCAUCCUGGUACGCAAGAACGCAUACAGCAUGAAGUCGGCGAGUACAAUGACGACGAAAG
rnacentral:misc_RNA from 1 species